GGUACGCUGGCGGCGUGUCUUAGCCAUGCAAGUCGAGCGGACUUAUGGGGUAACUUAUAAGUCAGCGGCGGACGGCGGAGUAACACGUAGCUAACCUACCCUCUGGACGGGGAUAACCUACCGAAAGGUGGGCUAAUACCCGAUGUAGUCAUCCUGUAUAGGGGUGAUGAAAGGUGGGCUUCUGUUUACAAGCUCAUGCUGGAGGAGGGGGCUGCGGCCUAUCAGGUAGUUGGUAGGGUAAUAGCCUACCAAGCCGAUGACGGGUAGCCGGCCUGAGAGGGUGACCGGCCCGAGGGGCACUGAGAUACGGGUCCCACUCCUACGGGAGGCAGCAGGCUAGAAAUUUGGGCAAUGGGGGAAACCCUGACCCAGUGACGCCGCGUGCAGGAAGGAGCCCUUCGGGGUGUAAACUGCUGUCGUGUAGGGAGAAGGGUACUAAGGUGAACAAUCUUAGUACUUGACGGUACUACAGGAGGAAGCCCAGGCUAACCUCGUG
rnacentral:rRNA from 1 species